UACGUAGGGUGCGAGCGUGUCCGGAAUUAUUGGGCGUAAAGAGCGUGUAGGCGGCCCGGUAAGUCCGCUGUGAAAGUCCAGGGCUCAACCCUGGGAUGCCGGUGGAUACUGUCGGGCUCGAGUCCGGAAGAGGAGUGUGGAAUUCCUGGUGUAGCGGUGAAAUGACGCAGAUAUCAGGAGGAACACCAAUGGCGAAGGCAGCACUCUGGGACGUGACUGACGGCUGAGACGCGAAAGCGUGGGGAGCAAACAGGAUUAGAAUACCCC
rnacentral:rRNA from 1 species